rnacentral:rRNA from 1 species
UACGUAGGGUGCGAGCGUUGUCCGGAAUUAUUGGGCGUAAAGGGCUCGUAGGCGGUUUGUCGCGUCGGGAGUGAAAUCCACUGGCUUAACUGGUGGCUUGCUUUCGAUACGGGCAGACUAGAGGUAUGCAGGGGAGAACGGAAUUCCUGGUGUAGCGGUGAAAUGCGCAGAUAUCAGGAGGAACACCGGUGGCGAAGGCGGUUCUCUGGGCAUUACCUGACGCUGAGGAGCGAAAGUGUGGGGAGCGAACAGG